AUCGAACGCUGGCGGCAGGCCUAACACAUGCAAGUCGAGCGGAGCGGCGGACGGGUGAGUAAUGCCUAGUAAUCUGCCUGGUAGUGGGGGAUAACGUCCGGAAACGGGCGCUAAUACCGCAUACUAUCAGAUGAGCCUAGGUCGGAUUAGCUAGUUGGUGGGGUAAAGUCCUACCAAGGCGACGAUCCGUAACUGGUCUGAGAGGAUGAUCAGUCACACUGUAACUGGAACACGGACCAUACUCCUACGGGAGGCAGCAGUGGGGAAUAUUGGUCAAUGGGCGAAAGCCUGAUCCAGCCAUGCCGCGUGUGUGAAGAAGGUCUUCGGAUUGUAAAGCACAUUAAGUUGGGAGGCGUUACCAACAGAAUAAGCACCGGCUAACUUCGUGCCAGCCGCCGCGGUAAUUC
rnacentral:rRNA from 1 species